CAACAACAAUAAUUAUUCAACAAUUACGAUUAAAACAACCUGCUGUACUUGAAAGUCCUUUCUUAAAGGAAGCGGAAAGCUACCACCCUGUAACUCUUGACCACGGAUCUUACCUCUGCGCUCCAGAGCAGCAGGUGCAAGAAUAUCUUAUUGAUAACACUUCUACCAUAAACUGUGGGAAGACUGACUCCUG